rnacentral:rRNA from 1 species
CCUACGUGGUGCAGCAGUGGGGAAUAUUGCACAAUGGGCGCAAGCCUGAUGCAGCAACGCCGCGUGGGGGACGACGGCCUUCGGGUUGUAAACCUCUUUUGGCAGGGAAGAAGCGAAAGUGACGGUACCUGCAGAAAAAGCACCGGCUAACUACGUGCCAGCAGCCGCGGUAAUACGUAGGGUGCAAGCGUUGUCCGGAAUUAUUGGGCGGAAGGAGCUCGUAGGCGGUGUGUCACGUCUGCUGUGAAAAUCCAAGGCUCAACCUUGGACUUGCCGGGGGUACGGGCACACUCGAGUGCGGUAGGGGAGAUUGGAAUUCCUGGUGUAGCGGUGGAAUGCGCAGAUAUCAGGAGGAACACCGAUGGCGAAGGCAGAUCUCUGGGCCGUAACUGACGCUGAGGAGCGAAAGCGUGGGGAGCGAACAGGAUUAGAUACCCGUGUAGUC